CAACCCCACGACUGAAACACUUAUUAGUAAGAUAACCCCCCUUAGGAUAUCUUCUAACUUGCAUUCGGGAGGAACCAAAAGUAUCUGUAUGAAGGAAGGCGUCGGGGCAACGUAUCCAAAAUUAUUUGUGUAUAUGCUCCAUACCUACCAGCUUACUUACACUUUUUAAUUGGUUGGCACACAAAGAUGUUUGAUCCGCCAUUGCAGGAGAGGGUGGGAAGGAAAAGAGGGAAGCUUUCAUUCAUCCUGUUUGUUUAUCAUCAUUUAAUUUCUUACAGAUACAAGGAAUCAACCACCACAAUGGCUUUUGGCUAGGUGCUGGAGCAGCAGUUGUGUUGGCCACAGAUGGACUUGCCACAUAAGCAGCAGCUGUCUGUGCCGAUGAUGAUGACCCUUCUUGUGCUGAUACACCAGUGUGUGGAGGAUUGGCACAUGUCGAUGAUUUGUUUCUCGACCUCUUUUUGCCCAUUAGUCUGAGGUAAAGGCUUCUUCAUUCCUUGAACCAUUUUUGAGUUCGCACAAAGAAGUUUGGGAUAGUGAAGCGUGCGUCAAGCUUGGGUUACAGUUGGGAAAAAUACUAGUUUUCUUCGAAUUCGAGUUAAGAGUAUUGAGGACCUAUGAGCAAGCCCAAUGGGGGCCGUAAAUCAGGCUGCAUCACAACAAUCAAAAUCAGCCACUCCAGCAAGAAUUCAUUUGCUCUCACAGCAGGACUCUCAGUCCCUUUCUCAGAUGCUCCGAUUUCAAUUUCUUGCACUCAGAACUGUAGCAGAGAACUGUAGCAGCUCCACA